rnacentral:rRNA from 1 species
UACGUAGGGAGCAAGCGUUGUCCGGAAUCAUUGGGCGUAAAGCGCGCGUAGGCGGCCCGGUCAGUCCGUCGUGAAAGUCAAAGGCUCAACCUUUGAAUGUCGAUGGAUACUGCCGGGCUAGAGUCCGGAAGAGGCGAGUGGAAUUCCUGGUGUAGCGGUGGAAUGCGCAGAUAUCAGGAGGAACACCUAUAGCGAAGGCAGCUUGCUGGGACGUUACUGACGCUAAGGCGCGAAAGCGUGGGGAGCGAACAGG